AGUGCCCGAAUCGCGGCGUACCUGGGCGCCGCUCCCCACCUCAGUGCCCGAAUCGCGGCGUACCGGCUCCAGCUUGGGAGGAGGCGGCUCUGAGGUGGUGGAGCCCAAGCCGUGACCCGUCACCGUGUCAUCUAGAACGUGGCCGUGCCGCAGGUGUGUGCUGGCUGCUUUGCUCAGGCCUGCACCAGGCUCAGCUGGGGCCUUCAGCCGGGGAAAAGCAUCCAGGAGGAGCGGCUGGGAUGCUCCAGGCUGGCAGUCAGCGGAGAGCUGGACACGAGAGAAAAGAAAACAUGCAGAAGGAGGGAAAACCAAAGAAGCCUCAGUGGAAAUGAAAGACCAUGGACUGCGGAACAUUAAGGAGGAUGCAGACACGACUCUUCAUGUUCCCAGAGUUUUUAACUAAAAGGAAUUUAUGAAAAAAAACCCCUCACCCAACCUCACAGACCUUUCGACAGACAGACUUGGGCUGAAUAAUGACAGAGCAACAGCAAUCAGAAACCCAGGAUAAACUACAAACUCUAAGGUCCUCCACUGUGCUGUCAGGAUCAGCAGGACUCAGUGCACACCUGGAACAGACACUGCCCACUGAUUUUCAAGCAGACGUCAGGGCAUUCAGCUCCAGGCAAGUUCUAUUUCCACCAAUAUGUAUAACUGUCAGUGUUGCCUCACUUCACAGCCAGCACAAGCAGCAACCAUCAGCUUCCCCACAUGU